rnacentral:rRNA from 1 species
CUUAACCUUGGAACUGCAUUCAAUACUGCCGUGCUGGAGUACGGGAGAGGAAGGUAGAAUUCCACGUGUAGCGGUGAAAUGCGUAGAGAUGUGGAGGAAUACCGGUGGCGAAGGCGGCCUUCUGGCCUGCUACUGACGCUGAGGCGCGAAAGCGUGGGGAGCAAACAGGAUUAGAUACCCUGGUAGUCCACGCCGUAAACGAUGUCAACUAGCCGUUGGGGGUCUUAGAAUCUUUAGUGGCGCAGCUAACGCAUUAAGUUGACCGCCUGGGGAGUACGGUCGCAAGAUUAAAACUCAAAUGAAUUGACGGGGGCCCGCACAAGCGGUGGAGCAUGUGGUUUAAUUCNACGCAACGCGAAGAACCUUACCUANUCUUGACAUCCCCGGAAGCCCGGAGAGAUCGGGGUGUGCCUUCGGGAGCCG